rnacentral:rRNA from 1 species
UACGGAGGGGCGAGCGUUGUCCGAAGUUACUGGGCGUAAAGGGCGCGUAGGCGGGUUGGCAAGUCUGCUGUGAAAGCCCGGAGCUUAACUCCGGAGGGUCGGUGGAUACUGCCAGUCUUGAAGGUGCCAGGGGGAGAUGGAAUUACCGGUGUAGCGGUGAAAUGCGUAGAUAUCGGUAGGAACACCAGUGGCGAAGGCGGUCUCCUGGAGCAUUCUUGACGCUGAGGCGCGAAAGCUGGGGAGCGAACGGG